GGGAUCUUCCUGUUUGCUUGGAAGGUUGGCCCUCAGUCAAUAACCUAGGGCUUCACCAUGCCAAAUCCAAAAUGUUCUGUUGUUGAUCACUGGUAUCAACAGCUCAGAAACUGCAAAACAGACCCCCGACAGUUACCAACACCCUCCUCCAAAGAACUUUCUGUUUACUGUUUGGUGUUUUCUCAGUCAAUGGAAACCCCACCAAAGCAAUGCCCUCUGUGGCUUCGGUGAGCAGAGCAGGCCCACUGAGACAGUAGACGCCCCACACUGACCAGCGUUGCCUACACAGGGCAUUUAAGUAAAGGAGGGCUUCAUCUUUGGACUAACACCUUGGAAUCACAUCAAUUGAUUAAAAAUUUUGCCAUGAAAGGCUGCUUUUCUUUCCAAAGUUGACACUCAACCUUAGAGUCCAACUAGACAGGGAAAAAUUCCCUUAGAAAUCACCUUUUCAGACAGGUACACAUCAGCCUGUUUCCAGUCCUGGGACCUUUCAGUGUCUUUGCCCGUGAGCCUGCUCCACGGCCUGAGAACAAACGUGACAGAGAGUGGCACAUGGGGCUCCGUGGAGUGGAGACUAAUACGACACAAUUUUGACCCUAAGAAAAAAACAAAACAAACAAACAAAAACAGCUGGGCUCCACCUUUGAAGGCAGCCAGGCACAAAGAGCAUCGGAGAAGGGGCUUUCGGGGAUCUCCGCAUAGAAAUGCACAAGACACAUGCACACGAAGACGGAUGAAGCCGCCACCCCAAACCAGCAGCAAAUGACUCUUCUUUUGUUACUGACCAUCAGGAGUUGAACUUUGCUCCACUUUGGGAAGCGGAACAAACGCUCUGGAGAAGACAGGGAGCACAGGACAUAUUUACCUGGAGGGGAUACCAAAGAGCAGCCGCAAGACUUGCAAAACAAAGUCGUCCCAAUGAAUUAUCUGUGCCUGCAGCCGCACUUGGCACCUUCGGCUAAGCCAGUGUCUGACAAGCAGUUGUUCCCACGGCAGCCACCCCUGCCUUCCAUCUUAGGGACUCACCCAGAAAAUUCUCCAACCUGCUCCACGACUACAAAACUCUUCUAAUGCUUUUGAACGCCCACCAUUUGUUCUCCAUUCAUCCAAUCAACUUUCCACUGCACAUCUUCUGUCUCUACCGGCGCCCAGGCAAGGGGCCCUUCUCAUCUGUAUGCUAAUUAUUUUGCCACAUGGACAAAAGUAAUAAUGCCUUCAGACAGGAAACUAACAGGCCUGAAGUCGAAGAUGGAAAUUAAUAAGUUGACACCACUAAACGACAGGGAAGACGGGCAUGCGUACAGCGCUCUGCCGGGCGGGUGAAGCGCAGCCUCCAUGAAAAGGCAGCAGACAGACAGCGCCGGGCUGCGAGUCCCGCCUGUGCUGCGUGCACCAGGCUCAGGCUCCCUCAGAGACCACAUCGCUGCAGCAGAAGAGCCUCGGAAGCAUCCUGCUGACUUACCCUGUCUCAGGCUGCCUCCUUGAAGCAACACAAAACAUAUCCACUUCCCCAAAUCCUAAGGUGGGAGGGAACUUCACUGCUGAUCUAGAUAUUUUUCAAACUACAGCUGUGGAUUAAACCAGUAAUUUCUAACCUUCCUGUGUAUCAACCUUGCAACACAGGCAGACACGAGUGGAGAUGUGUGCUGUAUGCCGCUUGCCUUGUACCCACAGGCCCCUAAAUCUCUAGAGCAGAAUGUGUAUCAUGAGCAGUGCUGUAUUUAAUGUAAUAGAUGAGAACUGUAAAU
ensembl:lincRNA